ACGUGGGUGAUCUGCCCUGCACUUUGGGAUAAGCCUGGGAAACUGGGUCUAAUACCGAAUAGGACCGCAUGCUUCAUGGUGUGUGGUGGAAAGCUUUUGCGGUGUGGGAUGGGCCCGCGGCCUAUCAGCUUGUUGGUGGGGUAAUGGCCUACCAAGGCGACGACGGGUAGCCGGCCUGAGAGGGUGUCCGGCCACACUGGGACUGAGAUACGGCCCAGACUCCUACGGGAGGCAGCAGUGGGGAAUAUUGCACAAUGGGCGCAAGCCUGAUGCAGCGACGCCGCGUGAGGGAUGACGGCCUUCGGGUUGUAAACCUCUUUCACCAGGGACGAAGCGCAAGUGACGGUACCUGGAGAAGAAGCACCGGCCAACUACGUGCCAGCAGCCGCGGUAAUACGUAGGGUGCGAGCGUUGUCCGGAAUUACUGGGCGUAAAGAGCUCGUAGGUGGUUUGUCGCGUUGUUCGUGAAAACUCACAGCUUAACUGUGGGCGUGCGGGCGAUACGGGCAGACUAGAGUACUGCAGGGGAGACUGGAAUUCCUGGUGUAGCGGUGGAAUGCGCAGAUAUCAGGAGGAACACCGGUGGCGAAGGCGGGUCUCUGGGCAGUAACUGACGCUGAGGAGCGAAAGCGUGGGGAGCGAACAGGAUUAGAUACCCUGGUAGUCCACGCCGUAAACGGUGGGUACUAGGUGUGGGUUCC
rnacentral:rRNA from 1 species